rnacentral:RNase_P_RNA from 1 species
GAAGUGCGCCAGACCGCCGCUGGGACAUCCGCCGAAAGGCCGUCCUGGAGGAAGGUCCGGACUGCACAGGACAGCGUAGGAGCUAACGACUCUCCACCGCGAGGUGAGGAUCAGAGCAACAGAGACGAGCCGGUUUGGUCCGGGUGAAACGGGCAAUCUCUACGCGCAGCAACACCGAAUAGGCACACGUUGAUCCGGUCCGGGGAGUGUGCGGGUAGGUGGCACCGAGCCGGGUGGGCGACCCCCGGCCCAGACGAAUGGCGGUCACGGCCACACCGGCGCAAGCCGGUGCGGCCGCACAGAAUCCGGCCUAUCGGCGCGCUUCACAC